rnacentral:rRNA from 1 species
CCUACGGGAGGCAGCAGUGAGGAAUAUUGGUCAAUGGGCGCGAGCCUGAACCAGCCAAGUCGCGUGAGGGAAGACGGUCCUAUGGAUUGUAAACCUCUUUUGUCGGGGAGCAAAAGACGCCACGCGUGGCGUUCCGAGAGUACCCGAAGAAAAAGCAUCGGCUAACUCCGUGCCAGCCGCCGCGGUAAUACGGAGGAUGCGAGCGUUAGCCGGAUUUAUUGGGUGUAAAAGGUGCGCAGGCGGAAGAUCAAGUCAGCGGUAAAAUUGAGAGGCUCAACCUCUUCGAGCCGUUGAAACUGGUUUUCUUGAGUGAGUGAGAAGUAUGCGGAAUGCGUGGUGUAGCGGUGAAAUGCAUAGAUAUCACGCAGAACUCCGAUUGCGAAGGCAGCAUACCGGCGCUCAACUGACGCUCAUGCACGAAAGUGUGGGUAUCGAACAGGAUUAGAUACCCGAGUAGUC